UAUCGAUAAACAAUUGGAGGGCAAGUCUGGUGCCAGCAGCCGCGGUAAUUCCAGCUCCAAUAGCGUAUAUUAACGUUGUUGCAGUUAAAAAGCUCGUAGUUGAAAUGAAGGGUGGUUGUGUAAUGAAUACAUUCGUGUAUUUUGUUAUUCUACCACCCUCCUUCUAAAUUCGAUAUAUGAGUAUUAAUUUACUUGUAUAUGGUUUUAGACCUUUACUGUGAGAAAAUUAGAGUGUUCAAAGCAGGCAUUUGCUUGAAUAUAUUAGCAUGGAAUAAUCAUGUAUGAUUUUCAUGAUGUAUUUGAUUGGUUUGGUUCAUGAGAAUAAGAUUAAAAGGGACAGUUGGGGGUAUUCAUAUUCAAUAGUCAG
rnacentral:rRNA from 1 species